rnacentral:lncRNA from 1 species
UGGCUGUGUGUGGGAACAGAGCUUGAGAGGCUAGGAUAUCACCACAGAACCCACACUCUGGAGGUUUGUGUGACCUGAGCUGGACCAUAUUUCCAAAGUGGUCCUCAGUAGUCAGACAGUGAGAUAGCAUAGAGGGCAUUUUCAUCCUGUUCAUCAAGAGAAAAAUCAGUUUAGAACACAGAAGGCCCAAGGGCUGAGGGUGUGUGCUUGCGAGGCCCAGUAUGAAAACUCCUGGGAAUUGGAGGCCAACUGUAGCUACAUAAGAGCCCUCCCAUCCAGCCAGGAGCCGCAGGAUGAGACCCUGUCAAAAAAGAAAAGAAAACCAGAAGGAAAUUACAUUUAUGUACUUAGGUUGAUUUUUUAAAUUAAGUUAAUGUUCAAAUUUUUAUUAGAUGAGAUGAAAUAAUGAAGGAAGAAGGCAGUCUUUGCCCAAUUAUAAAAUGACUAUUUUAAAUGAACAAACUGUAAAUUCAAAUUUUGAUGUAGAAUUUCCUGAGGAACACAGAAAAUAGUUAAGCCAAGCCAUGUGGGACAGCCCAUUUGUUAUUGGUUCCUUGAGGGGAAAAAGUUAAUGCUUUUUGUUUCUGUUUGGCCACUUGUUGAAAUUAGAAAGGAUUCCUCCCUGUAUUAUUGCUGUUAUUGCCCAAGCUAUUAAGGAAGACUAAUGUCGGGUUCUCAGGAUGAGAGUGGGUGCAGAGAUUCCCUUGCUCCACUCUCCUCAGAAGACUUCCCUCAGCCCUGAUCCACAACUGAGCUGCUCAACCUCCUGAGACCCUCCUCGCCAAGUCACUCAUAGCUGUGUGGUCUUUCACUGGCUUACACGCUGACCUCUCUGCCCUGCCAAGGAAGGAAGAGUACCACUCUACCUAUUUGGGGGACUCCUAUCUCUCUAGGCAAAUGUCUUUUACCUCUAGGGUAUUGUGAGUGACUGACCAUUCUCUGAGGCAAGCUACAGCCAUCUUGGAGCAUUCGCCUGUGAGUGCUUGUGAGAUCAUUUUAGUUGGGCUGGUUGGCUGUUUAUAGCCCCCAGUUGAGGGCCCGGGAGGGUCACAAACCCUCACUGAGUACCCAGCUCAUCCAGUCUGCCCUAAGUGUACUGGGUCCCUGAGAGGGGCUAGGUUAUAAAGGCAUGGGAAGACUAGAGGAGGGUGGCUUUCCCUAAGGCAAAGGGGAAGCCCUCAUCGAUGCUGAGGAAAGGCUUUCUAGGUGAAGUCUUUUGAGGAACACUUGAGCACACACACCUCUGUAAGUAACCCCUUACCUGCUAUGUUAAGAAGCCAAAUACACUCAUCAGUUAUCCCCACCAAGUGAACAUUGGAGAAACCAAGCCUCUGUUUGUUGCUGGGACCUUUGGAAGGGGUGGGGCAUGCUGCCUAGUGUCCUCCUGGGAAGGAAUUUUAGGGACACUGAUACAUUGUACACUCAAAUUGCACCCCCAAAAGAACUGCUUCUCAAUGGCCUUUGAUGCCUCAUGUUCUGAAACCAACCUGCCGACAUGUUUUCUCGUUCUGCCUUAUAUCAAGCAGCUUUGGAAGACUGCAAUUUCUUGACUCCAAAACAAUCAGAAAAAUGUCUGUAGUCUAACAUAAAGCCUUGUAGACAUUAUGCUGGAAGGGUUGUUUCCCUGAGGCAAUUGCCAGUUUCCAAAGAGAAGAAACCAGGACUCUUUGCAGUGAAGGAGACACCGUACAUUGUACAUAUUUAUCCAACACAAUAUCUGUGUUUUAAUAUCCAGCUGCAUUCAUUACAACCUACC